UUUGCUGCAGGGACAAUAUGGCUGACCUUGUCAUGUGGAUAUCAUGGCAGUUUGUCACGUGGAUAUCGUGGCAGGGGUGUUUGACCGUUACAUUCUUGGCGGGCUUUGCAUCAGGAGGGCCUGCCGCAUUGUUAAAGAUGGCGUACUUUGCCGCGGAAAAAGUGAAAGGAGGGAUUGGCAGUGUUAGAUUGCCGCGUGUCCCACCCAAUCAGAAAGGGUGG
rnacentral:sRNA from 1 species